UACGUAGGGGGCAAGCGUUGUCCGGAUUUAUUGGGCGUAAAGAGCGUGUAGGCGGUUUGGUAGGUCCGUUGUGAAAACUCGAGGCUCAACCUCGAGACGCCGAUGGAAACCAUCAGACUAGAGUCCGGAAGAGAAGAGUGGAAUUCCUGGUGUAGCGGUGAAAUGCGCAGAUAUCAGGAGGAACACCGGUGGCGAAGGCGGGUCUCUGGGCCGAUACUGACGCUGAGGAGCGAAAGCGUGGGGAGCGAACAGG
rnacentral:rRNA from 1 species